AAGGUGCUGGACCUGCCGGCACCGCGGACGCAGCUGCUGUGCUGCGCCUGUGGCAUCGGGGCAAAGAGGAAGCGGCUAUUUCUACGCUCAGUGCUCAGAACAGUGGGCACUAAGAAUGGUUUGUGGCCUGACAUCC